GGCAACUGAAUGGCAUAUGUUGGCAACAUAUGUCAUUGAAAAUAAACGCAAGUUAUUGUUUUUCUGUUGCUUAUCAAAUUUCUCAUAAUCGCUUGGUCGUUGGUUCAAACCCAACAGGGGCCACCA
rnacentral:tRNA from 1 species